rfam:Lepisosteus oculatus linkage group LG3, whole genome shotgun sequence.
GCCAGCAGCCAUAUCACCCUGCAGCUCUCAACUGGCUACCCACUGAAGCUAAGCAGCAUUGAACCUGGUCAGUACCUGAAUGGGAGACCUCCUGGGAAGCUAUGGUUGUUGCUGGAA